CCCGACCAACACGAGAACGCCGCGCGGGUCCAACUCGCGGCGGAUGAGAUCACUUACCUCGCGGCGGACCUGUGGCAGCUCGCGUCCGCGACCAUCCGGUCCGAUCAGGUCCGGCACGGUUCGGUGCGUGCCGCCGAACAUGUAGGCGGCGCUUUCAAUGGC
rnacentral:misc_RNA from 1 species